rnacentral:rRNA from 1 species
UAGCUUGCUAAUGAAAUUCUUAGUGGCGGACGGGUUAGUAACACGUGAGAAUCCUACCCUUAAGUGGGGAAUAGCCUUUCGAAAGGAAGAUUAAUGCCCCAUGGUCUCUACGGAGUAAAGAUGCCUUCGGGUGUCGCUUAAGGAUGGGCUCGCGGCCUAUCAGCUAGUUGGUGAGGUAAGAGCUCACCAAGGCAACGACGGGUAGCUGGUCUGAGAGGACGAUCAGCAACACUGGAACUGAGACACGGUCCAGACACCUACGGGUGGCAGCAGUCGAGAAUCAUUCACAAUGGACGAAAGUCUGAUGGUGCAACGCCGCGUGGAGGAUGACGGCCCUAGGGUUGUAAACUCCUGUCAUCAGGGAGUAAGACUUAUUCGUUAAUAGCGUGUAAGUUUGAUAGUACCUGAAGAGGAAGGGACGGCUAACUUCGUGCCAGCAGCCGCGGUAAUACGAAGGUCCCAAGCGUUGUUCGGAAUAACUGGGCGUAAAGCGUGUGUAGGCCGCGC